CCUACGGGUGGGCAGCAGUGGGGAAUAUUGGACAAUGGGGGCAACCCUGAUCCAGCCAUGCCGCGUGUGUGAAGAAGGCCCUCGGGUUGUAAAGCACUUUCAGUGAGGAAGAACGCCUGGUGGUUAAUACCCAUCAGGAAAGACAUCACUCACAGAAGAAGCACCGGCUAACUCCGUGCCAGCAGCCGCGGUAAUACGGAGGGUGCGAGCGUUAAUCGGAAUUACUGGGCGUAAAGCGCGCGUAGGUGGCUUGAUAAGCCGGUUGUGAAAGCCCCGGGCUCAACCUGGGAACGGCAUCCGGAACUGUCAAGCUAGAGUGCAGGAGAGGAAGGUAGAAUUCCCGGUGUAGCGGUGAAAUGCGUAGAGAUCGGGAGGAAUACCAGUGGCGAAGGCGGCCUUCUGGACUGACACUGACACUGAGGUGCGAAAGCGUGGGUAGCAAACAGGAUUAGAUACCCUAGUAGUC
rnacentral:rRNA from 1 species